GAUGAACGCUGGCGGCGUGCCUAAUACAUGCAAGUCGAGCGAACAGACGAGGAGCUUGCUCCUCUGACGUUAGCGGCGGACGGGUGAGUAACACGUGGAUAACCUACCUAUAAGACUGGGAUAACUUCGGGAAACCGGUGCUAAUACCGGAUCAUAUAUUGAACCGCAUGGUUCAAUAGUGAAAGACGGUUUUGCUGUCACUUAUAGAUGGAUCCGCGCCGCAUUAGCUAGGUGGUAAGGUAACGGCUUACCAAGGCAACGAUGCGUAGCCGACCUGAGAGGGUGAUCGGCCACACUGGAACUGAGACACGGUCCAGACUCCUACGGGAGGCAGCAGUAGGGAAUCUUCCGCAAUGGGCGAAAGCCUGACGGAGCAACGCCGCGUGAGUGAUGAAGGUCUUCGGAUCGUAAAACUCUGUUAUUAGGGAAGAACAAAUGUGUAAGUAACUAUGCACGUCGUGACGGUACCUAAUCAGAAAGCAACGGCUAACUACGUG
rnacentral:rRNA from 1 species